AGUGAACGCUGGCGGUAGGCCUAACACAUGCAAGUCGAACGGCAGCACAGUAAGAGCUUGCUCUUACGGGUGGCGAGUGGCGGACGGGUGAGGAAUACAUCGGAAUCUACUUUUUCGUGGGGGAUAACGUAGGGAAACUUACGCUAAUACCGCAUACGACCUACGGGUGAAAGCAGGGGAUCUUCGGACCUUGCGCGAUUGAAUGAGCCGAUGUCGGAUUAGCUAGUUGGCGGGGUAAAGGCCCACCAAGGCGACGAUCCGUAGCUGGUCUGAGAGGAUGAUCAGCCACACUGGAACUGAGACACGGUCCAGACUCCUACGGGAGGCAGCAGUGGGGAAUAUUGGACAAUGGGCGCAAGCCUGAUCCAGCCAUACCGCGUGGGUGAAGAAGGCCUUCGGGUUGUAAAGCCCUUUUGUUGGGAAAGAAAAGCAGCAGGUUGAUACCCCGCUGUUCUGACGGUACCCAAAGAAUAAGCACCGGCUAACUUCGUGC
rnacentral:rRNA from 1 species